GAGUUUUAUAUCUUCUUGUGCGUACCUCCAGAGUUUCUUGUCCACAGCCAUAGCCACGUUUUGGGGCUAUCUUAUGGAUCCUCAGGAGAGUUUUGGUUUGUGACUUUUUCAGGCUCCGCCGAACCCCUGAGACCGACUCACCGAACCCCUAGGUUUGGUGGUGGGAGGAAGCCGGAGUACCCGGUGGGAACCCACGCAGUCACGGGGAGAACAUGCAAGCUCCACCCAGAAAUAUCCCGAGCCCGGGAUUGACCAGGACUACUCAGGACCUUCGUAUUGUGAGACAGGCCAUUCCGUGGGCAAUUUUCCCAGGACGACCCCAUUAUUAUUCCACGGGGACGACUGCCCCCUCCGAGCCCGAUGGGUGGUCUUUCUAAAGGCAAAAGGAAGAGGAAAAGAAAAAGAGCUACCAAUAGGACACAUCUCGUAGGAAGCCUUGCUGGCAUCAACGUGUUUCCGUGGAAACGUCACUCUUACCCCCCCCUCCACAAGAAACGCUCAUUCACUCAAACCGGGACACAUUUCUUCUGAAUCGGAAGAGUAACAUGAAACACAAACUAAAACUAGAGACGUGCCGCCCGGUGCCAAGCCCGGUCUGGGUGGAAAACACCCCAGCCCCUCUCGUCUUUGUGCAGCCAUGUGUAAGAAACCUGGCACCGGCCCGAGGUCAGCGUCCCAAAAUGAUAUUAGCAUAAUCCCAUUAAGUGUGUCAGAGGCCUCGUGAGCAGACUGCGAGGAAGGUCGAGGAACGCCGCGACCAAAGAACGGAAGAAAAACAUGUCUUACGUUUAAAUGUUAUUCACGCCCCAUCAAAUUGAAAUCCUAUUGAAAAAUUCAUAAUAUUCAUGUAUUUAUCAGUAUGUGUCAAACUAGGUGUUGGCGA